AUUUGGUUAAUGUGUCAGUCUGCCACUACACAAAGGUCUUGGGUUUGCAUAUUUGCACAUAGGAUUUGUUGAUCCCUCUUGCACACAUGUUAAAUGAACCCCUAAGAAAAAAAAAUCUUGAUUUCCCUUGCCAGCUAUGAACUCAUUUUAGAGUUUAAUCAGAGGCAUGCUACAAUAUUCUUGAAGAUGGUCUAUAGUCCUGUCCAUUUUUCAAAGUCAAAUGUGAAACAGAAGGUGUGCCUGUAGUAGAAUAAAUCUUAGACAAAUUAUGGUUUGAGAAAAUUAGAAGGUCUGUCAUAAUUUGGAUUUCUGACCAAAAUAUUGAAAAAAGGGACAAAUAAGUUGAACUUCUUGGUUUCAAGUCUUAAGUUUGAUGGUACUAUGGUUGCAGGUUAUGG
rnacentral:misc_RNA from 1 species